UUGUCCUACCAAAAAAGACGCUGGAAGGUCAUCGGCCGAUUCAAUGCCCAGUGGAAAAAUGCUCAACGUUCGUCCGGAGUCCUCCGAAGGCAUCGAUGCUGAGGAUUCCACUUUUGUUACCUGUUUUCUUUUCAUUCGUUUUUAUUUUUUGGUUUUCACUCCGAAACAGUGUGAUGGUUAUUUUUUAUUCUUUAUAAGCUGAGAUGGAGAUGAAGCGAUAUCGAACGAGCCGACAGAAAGCGAAUUGAGACAUUUCUUAUCAGAAUGUUCCUAUUUCGCCUCCAGUCAAUCCGGUGAAAAAGAUUGCAUCGUAACCGGAAACUUUUCGUGAUUAUUACAUGAAAAUUGGUUUGUGCAUCAAACGCUGCCAGCUGCCUAUAUCAUUUGGACUUUGGUGAAGUGAUGCAGAAUUUGAAUCGAGGAUCAUCGUCAUCGAGUCAUUCGUUUGCCCGAAAGAACUCGGCUCCAUAUCUCGGCGCAACAACUCACACAUUUCGCCUAGGAGCAACUUGCCAACUUACUAUUUCACGCCCGCCUUUUGAAGAUCGAGUGAAGUCUAAACCUUCACACAACGGGGAGGAUUUCAAUUUGGAUUCGUCGCAGGGGUCGCCAAUCUACCGAUAAUGCAUUGGAAACGAAGAUAAAUUUUAUGUUUUUUUGUUUAAUCAUGGUAGCA